GAUGAAGAACGUAGCGAAAUGCGAUACUUGGUGUGAAUUGCAGAAUCCCGUGAACCAUCGAGUCUUUGAACGCAAGUUGCGCCCGAAGCCAUCAGGUUGAGGGCACGUCUGCCUGGGCGUCACAUAUCGUUGCCCAAUGCCUAUUGCGGUGCAAUAGGAAUUUCUAGGGCGAAUGAUGGCUUCCCGUGAGCGUUGUUGCCUCGCGGUUGGUUGAAAAUCGAGUCCUUGGUAGGGUGUGCCAUGGUAGAUGGUGGUCGAGUUAGAUCGAUACCGAUCAUGUGCAUGCUCCCCAAAAUAUGGCCUCUAUGACCCACACGCGUCUUUUGACGCUCAUGACGAGACCUCAGGUCAGGCGGGGCUACCCGCUGAAUUUAAGCAUAUCAAUAAGCGGAGGA
rnacentral:misc_RNA from 1 species